CGUGAAGGUCCCUGAGACGGCCA
rnacentral:misc_RNA from 1 species